UGAUCUCUAGCUCAGUAGAGCAUGGCGCUUAUAACGCCAAGAUAGUGGGCUCAAUUCCCGGGACCAC
rnacentral:tRNA from 1 species